rnacentral:tmRNA from 1 species
GGGGCUUUACUGGUUUCGAUUUGGUGGCGAAAGCUGCUCGUUGAUGCAGGUCGAGAGGGAGUGUCUCUCGUAAAUAAAGGCUCAAAACAAUAGAUGCAAACAACAUCGUAAAAUUUGCUCGUAAGGAUGCCCUAGUAGCAGCCUAAAAGCCUCUUUCAGGUCCGAGCGUUUCUAGUUUGACUCCGUUAAGAGCUAGAGACAACCCUCAACGGAUGCGCUAACAAGUUUCCUCUGGUAGACUAGUUAGCAAAGAAAUCACCAGAGCAUCCUACCGUUCGGGAUAAUGAACGAUUCCCGCCUAGAGGGUAAGAUAGGCUAAACCUGUGAACGAUGCGGGGGUUAAUACCCAUUGAAGACAUGGGUUCGAUUCCCAUAAGCUCCAUAU